rnacentral:rRNA from 1 species
UACGUAGGUGGCAAGCGUUGUCCGGAAUUAUUUGGGCGUAAAGCGCGCGCAGGUGGUUCCUUAAGUCUGAUGUGAAAGCCCCUGGCUCAACCGGGGAGGGUCAUUGGAAACUGGGAGACUUGAGUGCAGAAGAGGAGAGUGGAAUUCCAUGUGUAGCGGUGAAAUGCGUAGAUAUAUGGAGGAACACCAGUGGCGAAGGCGGCUCUCUGGUCUGUAACUGACGCUGAGGCUCGAAAGCGUGGGGAGCGAACAGG